rnacentral:lncRNA from 1 species
UUCAGGCUAGCAACACUAUCCAGCCACAUUCGAACAUCUGUAGCAGGCACUUGAUCAGAUUGAAUCCCCAAAGGUGAGGCUAACCAAUAACUACGGCUAAUAGGGUAGUCAUUAAGAGAAUAAAGUUGAUCCUCAAAUUCAUGUCCACACCAACUACACAUCACAUCCACAGAUAUUCCACGUCGAGCUAGAUUUGCCAAGCAUGGAAGGGAAUUAAGAUCGAU